GGAGGCCAGACAUACUGUGUGACUGUAUUACAAUGAUCAAACCUUUUCGACGAUGAUCAGACUGCAGCGAUUGACUACCUGUACGAAGGUAAUGUAUUCUGAACACAUAACAGUAAAAUAUUUACUGUAGAAGUUUAAAUUUUAAAUUUAAAUACAUGCUAUAUAUAUCAUAUUUAGAUCUUUGUGUAGGGUUAAUAUAU
rnacentral:lncRNA from 1 species